AAGAGUUUCUACUUGUGGCAAUGAAUAAGAAAUUCUAAAGUGGUUACCAAGAAGAUAUAAUGAGCCUCUGUCUUCAGUGAGCAUGAGUUACACUAUACCUGCUGUGUAAUCUGUUGUCUUAUUAGGACAAAACUCAAAUAUAGCACCAGGCUUGUGUUGAUGCUCAAGCCAAAUGCCACAUGCUCGAGAGGCUUAUUGUGUCUUUGAUCUCCAUCUGUCAGUUUCUUCAUUUGUCUCGCAGAAACAACUGGGCUCGGGAUAACAAACCAAGGUGAUUGUAACAUUCCUGUCUACAAGCUGGCCACAAAGAGCAUGGAGAUACAUGUUCCAUGACAGUAGCAUCCCUGUUUAACCAUGUUCACAGAGGCUUGUUCACAUCUAUCUCACCAUGCAUUGGACAGAAGGCAGGGAAACACGCUGGACAGUCCAUCAUAACCUUUUAACAUAUGCACCAGCUGAUAAAACUGAAGAUAUCAACAAACUUUGCAAAGCUCCUCCAGAGCCACAGAA